rnacentral:tRNA from 1 species
GGUGCAAGCGAGUUGGUAGAGCGUUCCACUGGAAAUGGAGAGGUCCCUGGUUCGAUACCAGGACCA